rnacentral:tRNA from 2 species
GCCCGCGUAGCUCAAUUUGGCAGAGCAGGGGACUCUUAAUCCCAAGGUUCACGGUUCGAGUCCGUGCGCGGGCACCA